rnacentral:tRNA from 1 species
GGGCCCUUCGUUCAAUGGAUAAGACGCACCUCUGCGGAGGGUGAGAUUCAGGUUCAAUUCCUGAAGGGCCCA